rnacentral:rRNA from 1 species
UACGUAGGGGGCCAGCGUUGUUCGGAAUCACUGGGCGUAAAGCGCACGUAGGCGGAUUCGUAAGUCAGGGGUGAAAUCCCUGGGCUCAACCCAGGAACUGCGUCCGAUACUGGAAGGCUUGAAUCCGGGAGAGGGAUGCGGAAUUCCAGGUGUAGCGGUGAAAUGCGUAGAUAUCUGGAGGAACACCGGUGGCGAAGGCGGCGUCCUGGACCAAUACUGACACUGAGGAGCGAAAGCCAGGGGAGCAAACGGG